rnacentral:lncRNA from 1 species
AUGUAUUGUACGGGUUGGGUAACUUUGUGUGUGUUCUGGUCGUACAAAACACAGGAGCCAAGAAGGGCUCUCAAGCUCAAACCCUAACAAGCAUAAAAUCAACAAAUUGAAGGGGUAAAUCCAACCUAAAUCGAAAUCCAAGCACGAAUUCAUGAUCACCUCGAUGAAGGGAUCAUAAGUUUGACUCUUGACAAGCUAGAUGGAGGCUUGGGGAAAGAAGCGGGUCAAACGGAUCGUAUACGCGGAAAAGAGCAUAAUCCGGAUACUAGGUAAGUUAAAGCUUACACCUUUUAUUAACAACUAUUGGUUUUAUAGAUUAUGAAUAAUCAAAAGUCAUAUUUGACUUAUGAUGUUUUGACCCGUCAUGUGCGGUUCGGAACAAAAGACAUUAAUGAUAAACCAUGUUGAAUGAUUAAAAAGAGCUAAUAAGAUCAUUUAGUCAUGCAAUGACUAAUAAAUAACGAGUUCUAAAUGAUUACCUUGUAAGGUAAAUCAAUACAAUUAAUAAGGGUUAAACGGUAAGGUGGUCACUAGUUGACGAUAACCGUUAGUUUUGAAGGACACUUUAUGGCGUAAGAUAUAAAGGGGUCAAAAUGAUCAAGAAAUAGAUUUAUAAGGAAAAUUGACCGUACGGUGUAAACCGGUACAAGUCAUGUAGUCGAGAUGAUGAUAAAUCCAUCUCGCAAAAGUAAACGGUCAUUUAGACCAAACGGGUCAAAAGGUGAAAAUAUCACCCUUUGACAAUAUCGACUAAUGGUUUGUCGAGUUGUAUGAUUACAGGAAUAAAUAUCGAUUGAAUGUUGACAUCGCUAUUACUUAGCGGCUACUAAGGCAAGGUAUCGAAACGGGUCAAUAUAUUGAUCCGAGCCAGGUUUGUAUAAUGAUUCAACUCGUCAUGUAGAACUUGAGGUUCUAUAAGUGUUAGACAAAGAUAAAAUAUAGAUAUUCGGUUAUCAUUAAGGUAAACCGAAUAAAUUGGGUCAUGAUUAUGGUAUUUUAGAAAUAUAAUGGUUUCUAAACAAGAUUAUAGUUUUAAAAGUGAGAUUUUGGUCGAACAUGGCUUUAAAGGUCCUUCGUCGUAAUAGGAGGGGUAAAAGUGACCAAAAUGCUCUUAUAAGUGAAAUUAAGCAAACAAUCCCUAAAGGUUGCUUAGAAAUGAGUUUUGUAACCAAAUAGAUACUUGUAUUAAGUAUAAAAAGUGAAAUAUGUGAAUCUUUGGGUCAAAUGACUCUAUAUGAGUCUUUGCCGUAAAAUGAUAAUCCGAGGGGUAAAACUCGGAAUAAAUAGAUCUCCACAUUAAAUCCUCGACACAUAUAGUUGUGGUGGAAGAUAAAUUGAUAAAUAAUAUGGAAGUACAAUGCUAGAAGUGAAUGGGUAUGAAUUAUGCGGUAAAAGUGCUUAAAUACCCUUAACGGGUCAAAAUAAGUUUCUAAGUCAAAACGGGUUAAAGAAGGUAUACAAACCCGUGAUUUUGAGCCUAAUAUAAUAGGAGAUAUUGAAAUUAUGAAGUUCUUGGGUUUAAAGAUCAAAUAGGCAUGUUUGUUUGAUAAAAUCACGAACGGGUCAAAAUUUGGUAAAAAGGGUAAUAAGCCAAAGAUUUAAAAGUCUUAAAUUUUUGUUAAUCCGGAUGUCGGAUUUUAACUCCAUAUGAUGGAGAAUUAAAUUACGGACGCGUAGGAAAAAGAAUCGUGUAAAACGGAUUAAAAACGAGAGAGUUAUGUCCGUUUCGGUAAGAACUAAUGAAAAAUAGACGUGCAGAGUUGACACGGGCGGGUGACUUUUUGACACGGCCGGGUGGCUGGGCUGUGAAAAAUAUAUGUUAACUGACACGGCCGGGUGACUUUUUGACACGGCCGGGUUAAGGGGCUGAAAACAAAACAAAAAUAAUUUCUUGUUUUGUUACGUUAAGCACGGAACUUGUUUAUACUCGAUUAUUAAAGUGUCAAAACUAAUUAUUACAUGGUUUUAACCGUAGGUGAAGAUGGACCUAAUCCGGAUGAAGAUCAAGCGGCGAGCAAGAACCGAACACACGUUAAAUGAAGCUUCCGCGUCAAAUCUUGAUUUGUGUUGAUAUAAGUGAAUUAUGUAAACACUUAUAAAUUGUUUUUGAAAUGUUGUAAUCAUUUGGGAAUGUUGGUAUAACAAGUUUUGUAAAGGCACAUUUUAGCAUAAAAAUUUGUAUCUUUUAUUAAAAUAUUAAUAAAACCAGACGGGCGUUACAUCUGGUUCCGCCACUAAUUUGCAUGGUUGGU